rnacentral:tRNA from 1 species
GCGUCGGUGGUUCAGUGGUAGAAUACUCGCCUGCACCGCGGGUGGCCCGGGUUCGAUUCCCGGCCGACGCA